rnacentral:rRNA from 1 species
UACGAAGGGGGCUAGCGUUGUCCGGAUUUAUUGGGCGUAAAGAGCGUGUAGGCGGCCAGGUAGGUCUGCUGUGAAAACUCGAGGCUCAACCUCGAGACGUCGGCGGAAACCAUCUGGCUAGAGUCCGGAAGAGGAAAGUGGAAUUCCAUGUGUAGCGGUGAAAUGCGUAGAGAUAUGGAGGAACACCAGUGGCGAAGGCGACUUUCUGGUCUGUAACUGACACUGAGGCGCGAAAGCGUGGGGAGCAAACAGG